AUCAACAGUAAUAAUGAACAUCAUCAGGUUGACUCUGUCUGUCGUGAUGCUGAUUCCUCUGCUUCUCUUUACUCUGUGGAGCAGGAAGAAGAAAACUCUGAGCUCCACCUGUGAACCAAAUGAACGUGUGGAGAUGAUACAGCUGGACUCUGGUUCUGAGUAUGUGAACGUCUCAGCCGUCCCUGCAGCACAGACAGAAGACACAGAGGACCAGGAAGACCUGGUGUGAAGUCCAGAGAGAUGCAGUGUAACCAGAGGACUCAGUGUGGAGAGCGAGGAUGUGGAUGAAGUGGAAACAUUUACCUUUAACUGCAAAAGUUUCCAUGUUGAGUUUUCAGCAGCAUAGAGACAUGUAGCAUGGGAACAUGUCAUCACAACUUUAACUCCCAACUGUUAACAAAGAUGUUGACAUAGAUAACAGUUUAUCCGUGAAUACUGUUCAAAAGAAUGGAAGUUAACAUUAAGGUUAUUCAGUAGACAACAAAUAAACAGCCUGAACCUGGAA